GCCAGCAUGACAAAGUGGUUUAAGUGUUGGACUAUGACUCUGGAGACCAGGGUUCGAUUCCCAGCUCAGCCA